rnacentral:lncRNA from 1 species
GAUUUCCACCAAGCUGGAAGGAGGUUUGACUCUACCUGGACUUCUACCAAGCUGGAGGACAUUUUGCUCUGAGUGAUUUUCCCUAGAGAGUCAACAUUUUGUGGAGAAUUUUUGACUUCUUGGUAGAGAAUUUACUUUGGAGGAAACCAUUUUCCCUGAGUACAGAGAUCAUCUGUCAGUGAUCCCUCUGCCAGAAAUCCUUUUGUGCUGAGAUGAAGGAACUGAAGUUGAGAGACACAGUGAUUAUUCCAGGAUUUUAAUAGCUGGGCCAAGUUGACAAACCUAUGGCAUGUGUGCCAGAGCAUGCUGGAGGAGGCUGCUCCCUUCCCCCUUUCCACUCAUGCCUCUGGACAUUUCUCACAUCACUUGUCCCUCUGCCCAGCAGAGUGCUAGGAGUGCGUCCUCUCUCUCCUGUUUGGAGUAAGAUGAAAGAUGUUGCAAUUUCACUAAUUCAUGGAGAAAAGCAGAGCAUAGCCUUCAAUUAGAAACCAGGAGAAGAAAAAAUAAUGAAAAAGAGUCAGUAAAAGGUAGACAGAUCCGGUCAUCAAAGCACAUUAUGAUUUCUUCAUGGUCUUCAUAGAUACACCAAAUUAAAGAAGUCCCAACUUCUGGAGGAAAGGGUUGGGGUUUUUUUGUGUGUGUGUGUGUUUUUAACCCUUUGGAGACUAAGAAGCUGCAUCAAGAUAGACAAAGACCAAUCAAGCCAGAGAGACACUUUUGUUUCCUUUUAUGGAAAUCUAAUCCUUGCUUGAGGGACCCAAGGGAACUCUGGGCCUCACAUGCUUCACAAAAUGUGUCCUUCAUUUUCAAAGAGGGCCCAAUGACAUUACUGGGUA